GAUGAACGCUGGCGGCGUGCCUAAUACAUGCAAGUCGAGCGAACAGACGAGGAGCUUGCUCCUCUGACGUUAGCGGCGGACGGGUGAGUAACACGUGGAUAACCUACCUAUAAGACUGGGAUAACUUCGGGUAACCGGAGCUAAUACCGGAUAAUAUAUUGAACCGCAUGGUUCAAUAGUGAAAGACGGUUUUGCUGUCACCUAUAGAUGGAUCCGCGCCGCAUUAGCUAGUUGGUAAGGUAACGGCUUACCAAGGCAACGAUGCGUAGCCGACCUGAGAGGGUGAUCGGCCACACUGGAACUGAGACACGGUCCAGACUCCUACGGGAGGCAGCAGUAGGGAAUCUUCCGCAAUGGGCGAAAGCCUGACGGAGCAACGCCGCGUGAGUGAUGAAGGUCUUCGGAUCGUAAAACUCUGUUAUUAGGGAAGAACAAAUGUGUAAGUAACUAUGCACGUCUUGACGGUACCUAAUCAGAAAGCCACGGCUAACUACGUG
rnacentral:rRNA from 1 species